rnacentral:rRNA from 1 species
GAAGCAAUCGGAAGUGGUUCCAAGAAAAGCCUCUAAGCUUCAGUCAUACGAGACCGUACCGCAAACCGACACAGGUGGGCGAGAUGAGUAUUCUAAGGCGCUUGAGAGAACUCGGGAGAAGGAACUCGGCAAAUUGGUACCGUAACUUCGGGAAAAGGUACGCCUCGGUAGCUUGACCACUUUACUGUGGAAGGGCGAAAAGGUUGCAAUAAACUGGUGGCUGCGACUGUUUAAUAAAAACACAGCACUCUGCAAACACGAAAGUGGACGUAUAGGGUGUGACGCCUGCCCGGUGCUGGAAGAUUAAAUGAUGGGGUGCAAGCUCUUGAUUGAAGUCCCAGUAAACGGCGGCCGUAACUAUAACGGUCCUAAGGUAGCGAAAUUCCUUGUCGGGUAAGUUCCGACCUGCACGAAUGGCGUAACGAUGGCCACACUGUCUCCUCCCGAGACUCAGCGAAGUUGAAGUGUUUGUGAUGAUGCAAUCUACCCGCGGCUAGACGGAAAGACCCCAUGAACCUUUACUGUAGCUUUGCAUUGGACUUUGAACCAAUCUGUGUAGGAUAGGUGGGAGGCUUUGAAGCGGGGACGCCAGUUCUCGUGGAGCCAUCCUUGAAAUACCACCCUGGUUUGUUUGAGGUUCUAACCUUGGUCCGUGAUCCGGAUCGGGGACAGUGCAUGGUAGGCAGUUUGACUGGGGCGGUCUCCUCCUAAAGUGUAACGGAGGAGUUCGAAGGUACGCUAGGUACGGUCGGACAUCGUGCUAAUAGUGCAAUGGCAUAAGCGUGCUUAACUGCGAGACCGACAAGUCGAGCAGGUACGAAAGUAGGACAUAGUGAUCCGGUGGUUCUGUAUGGAAGGGCCAUCGCUCAACGGAUAAAAGGUACUCUGGGGAUAACAGGCUGAUUCCUCCCAAGAGUUCAUAUCGACGGGGGAGUUUGGCACCUCGAUGUCGGCUCAUCACAUCCUGGGGCUGUAGCCGGUCCCAAGGGUAUGGCUGUUCGCCAUUUAAAGUGGUACGUGAGCUGGGUUUAAAACGUCGUGAGACAGUUUGGUCCCUAUCUGCCGUGGGCGUUGGAAAUUUGAAGGGGGCUGCUCCUAGUACGAGAGGACCGGAGUGGACGAACCUCUGGUGUACCGGUUGUCACGCCAGUGGCAUUGCCGGGUAGCUAAGUUCGGAAGAGAUAACCGCUGAAAGCAUCUAAGCGGGAAACUUGCCUUAAGAUGAGAUUUCCCGGAGCCUUGAGCUCCUUGAAGGGUCGUUCGAGACCAGGACGUUGAUAGGUCGGGUGUGGAAGUGCAGUAAUGCAUUAAGCUAACCGAUACUAAUUGCCCGUACGGCUUGUCCCUAUAAC